AGUGGCGAACGGGUGAGUAACACGUAGGUAACCUACCCAUGUGCCCGGGAUAAUUUCUGGGAACGGAAACUAAAACCGGAUAGGUAAUAGAGAAGCAUUUCUGUAUUAUUAAAGAAGCCUCAAAGCUUUGAACAUGGAUGGACCUGCGGUGCAUUAGCUAGUUGGUAAGGUAACGGCCUACCAAGGCGACGAUGCAUAGCCGACCUGAGAGGGCGAACGGCCACAUUGGGACUGAGACACGGCCCAAACUCCUACGGGAGGCAGCAGUAGGGAAUAUUGGGCAAUGGAGGCAACUCUGACCCAGCCAUGCCGCGUGAAGGAAGACGGCCCUAUGGGUUGUAAACUUCUUUUAUCGUGGAGUAAACCCGGUCACGUGUGGCCGGUUGAGAGUACACGAGGAAUAAGUAUCGGCUAACUCCGUGCCAGCAGCCGCGGUAAUACGGAGGAUACGAGCGUUAUCCGGAUUUAUUGGGUUUAAAGGGUGCGCAGGCGGAUCGGUAAGUCAGGGGUGAAAAGUUGGGGCUCAACUCCAAUCGUGCCUUUGAUACUGCCGGACUAGAGUGCGAUAGGCGUGGCUGGAAUGUGAUGUGUAGCGGUGAAAUGCUUAGAUAUGUCACAGAACACCGAUCGAGAAGUCAGGUCACGAGCUCGCAACUGACGCUCAGGCACGAAAGCGUGGGGAUCAAACAGGCUUAGAUACCCUGGUAGUCCACGCUGUAAACGAUGAUCACUCGUUGUUGGGGGGCGACCCUCAGCGGCCAAGCGAAAGCAAUAAGUGAUCCACCUGGGGAGUACGAUCGCAAGGUUGAAACUCAAAGGAAUUGACGGGGGCCCGCACAAGCGGAGGAGCAUGUGGUUUAAUUCGAUGAUACGCGAGGAACCUUACCCGGGCUUGAACGUAAGACGAAUAUGCAGGAGACUGCAUAGCCUACGGGCGUCUUGCGAGGUGCUGCAUGGUUGUCGUCAGCUCGUGCCGUGAGGUGUUAGGUUAAGUCCUGCAACGAGCGCAACCCUUACCUCCAGUUACCAGCACGUCAAGGUGGGGACUCUGGAGGAACUGCCUACGCAAGUAGAGAGGAAGGUGGGGAUGACGUCAAAUCAGCACGGCCCUUAUGUCCGGGGCGACACACGUGUUACAAUGGCGGCCACAGAGGGAAGCUACCCGGCGACGGGAUGCGGAUCUCGAAAAGCCGUCCCAGUUCGGACUGGAGUCUGCAACCCGACUCCACGAAGUUGGAUUCGCUAGUAAUCGCGCAUCAGCCAUGGCGCGGUGAAUACGUUCCCGGGCCUUGUACUCACCGCCCGUCAAG
rnacentral:rRNA from 1 species